UUUAUUUAAUUUUAGUGUUUUGUUUUAAAUCUUAUGUUUUGUGGUGAUGUGCUUUAGUAAAUUAUGUCUUUUUCACUUUUGUUUUUGUUUUAAUUUUCCAGUGUCAGGGAUAGUUUCCGUGGUUCGCUUAAAUCAGUGAGAUUGUGGACGAAAUUUUUAGGGUUUGGAAUCGGUGAAAGAGAUCUAUUUUGCGACAGUGAAGUUUUUGUACUUUCUUGCUUGUUUCUGAUACCUUGUAUUGUGGCAUUGAGAAUUUGAGAUCUAGUUUUUUUUUUUUUUUGUGUGUGUGUGACUAUGGAGACACUUGUUGUUGUUGACCAGCAUAAGAAUCAAUACUGUAGCAGAUCUAAGUCACAAGGCCAUGGUAGAUUUGGAUCUUCACCUUCAAAACAAUUUAGAGGGAUUAACUGUAGGACUUUUCAAUCUGAUUCAGGUAUAUUACCAACUCCUUUGAAAUCUCAGAGUUUUCAUGAAACUAAAACACCAACAUCUCCUGUUACUGAAAACCCUAAUAGGAAAAAAACUAGUCCUAAGAGCUCCCCGAUUCCGAUUAAUGGUAAAACUUGUAGAAAAGAGACAACUUUCAGUGGAGAUUUAUGCUGUGGAAGCUUUUUGCUAUCUGAGUUAUGGGCUGGACCUACAUAUUCAAAUUCGCCACCACCUAGUUCUCUGCCGAUUCCUAAGUUUUCUGUGAGACCGAAGAGGACUGUGUCUCUUGAUCUUCCUGAUUCCUCUCCUGAGAUUGAAUUGCGCCCGAUGGCUAAGUCUGCACCCUCUUCUCCGACCAGGGAGCGAUUGUGUUUUACAAGGGAUCUCUUUGUGAAUGCUGAUUCUGCUACUGAGACCCUUCGUCGGAUUCUCAAUCUCGACAUCAAUGAUGAAUGAAACUUAAGGAGCAAUGCACUCCUGUAAAUAAGUGUUUUCAAUGAAAGUAGGUUUGUGUUAUGUUAGAUGUAUAUAAAGGUUCUGUAGAAUUUGUAGUGUGAGUUGGUUUGAGUUUGUGUAGCUUUUAGUUGUGGCAAUUAUGCACUUGAUGAUUUUGGCUUUAGUGGGUCGACAAUCUCUAGAUUUUGGAAAUGGAUCAAGGUUGGCAGUGGAGAGGGUUAUUGGGUUUGUGCCGGAGGAAUUGGUUGAAAGCAGGCUUUGGUAUGGGUCUUGAGACUUGACGGAAGCUUCCAUGAAAAUGAUUAUGAAGCAAAUUGAUGGUAAUGGUAGGAGUGUGUGGAAUUGACUUGGGUUGACGGUGGUUAUGGGACCUGAAGAAGGUCUGGUAUGGGUCUUGAGAGUUGAUGGAAGCUUCCAUGAAAAUGAUUCGGAAGCAGGGCGAUGGUAACAGUAGGAGUAGCAUGGAACUGACUUGGGUUGACGGCGUCUAUUAGACCUGAAGAAGGUUACAUACAAGCUGAAUCCUGAACUUAUAAUAUAUUGUUAGCACUCAUCAUAAGCUUUUUUCUCAUAUAAUGGUUAACAUUACUUUACUCUGAUAUAGGAUAUAUAGGCAUCUCGCAUUAGAUACGAUGUACAAACUGUAGAAUCUUGUCCUUACAAAAAAACCCUUAGGUCUCUCCUCUCUUUCUUUCUAAGCUUUUCUGGGUUUUUUUCUUAGCAUCAUCUUUAAUCAUUCUCACUUCUAUCCUUAUUUUACUUUCUUUUCUGAGACAUUUAACUGUGUUUAUCACUGUCAUUUCAGUUGAUUAGAUGAUAUGCAGUUUGCUAGUUACUUCCUUCCCUAUAUUUGUUUCUACCUUCCCUAUCAGUCUUUUCAUAUCUUCCAGUCAUCUUUCUUUCUCUGUUAGUAUUUAUAUUUUAAAUAGCAGCCCUCAGUGAGGGUUUUGUUUUCCCCUUAACUAUCUUUUCUGUUUUUUUCAAAGAAAAGUUAGAAGGGAUUUGUAGUAGUCUUUUGCUGCAUUAACUUCUGUUUUCUAGGAUGAAUCAAUUCCGUUCCACCGACUAUAAAUCCCCUGAUAUAUUUCCUUCUGGUUUUGAGUAAUGCAUAUUUCUGUAGUCCUUAUCCUCACCAGUCACCUGGCUUAUCUUCCACUUCCAUGGAGAGUGUUGACCAAGCUAUGCCGAAAUUUAAGGUAAGAUAUUGCUUAAUCAUUGUUUAAAUGCUUCUGCCAUUCUUUUCAUGAUGUUACAUUACAGUUAAUAAGAAUUGUUUAAUAUGUGAAUCAGGAAGGCAAAACUUUACUCAUGCUUCUUCAGUUAUGGAUCAUGAGAUGUGGUCAGUUUCAAUUGCAAAUCAGUUUCUGCCAUAAUGUCCUCUCUGGGUCGCAAAUUUGAUUGUUUCUUUUUCUUCCUUCUUCAGUAACUUGUGUAACUUGUUUGGUCUGCUGAAAUAAAAUGUUUAAUGACUAUCAUCUAUCUGAUAUUUUGUAUUUGAUUUAAAUACUUAUUCACCUUAUUAAUUUAUAUUGCGUUUCAUUGAAAGCUCUAGAAUAAUUGGCUGCAUUUUAACGAACUUUUGUAUCCGACGUUGUUAGUUAAGCUUUCACUAAGUAAAAUGUGUGGCUCCUAAUAUUGAUGGAACUUGUCUCAUGAAAUAUUUGGUAAUGAUUCGCAUAUAUCAAAUAUUUGGUGUCAUGUUUGAAACAUUCAUAAUUGUGUAUUUUCAUGCAAUUGCAACUACAUUUUAGGCUCCUUAAUAAUUAAGUAGUUAACAUAAAUUUAUGUUCGGUAAAUCCAACUCAAUUGAUAGAAGGCCGAAGAGGCUUCAACUCCAACACCCUUCUUUUUCUUUUUACUUGAGGUGUGGGUUUUGAAAUUAAAUUUUUUAAUCAAGGUAAAAUGGGUUUGAACAAAUAAAUUGAAUUUCAACCGUUAUUAUUAAAGUAAUUUUAAUAAAAUAAAUUAUAAAUUUAUAAUAUUUGAAUUAUUUUAAAUAAUUUUUUUUUUAAAUGUUGAUUUAUUUAAUUUUAGUGUUUUGUUUUAAAUCUUAUGUUUUGUGGUGAUGUGCUUUAGUAAAUUAUGUCUUUUUCACUUUUGUUUUUGUUUUAAUUUUCCAGUGUCAGGGAUAGUUUCCGUGGUUCGCUUAAAUCAGUGAGAUUGUGGACGAAAUUUUUAGGGUUUGGAAUCGGUGAAAGAGAUCUAUUUUGCGACAGUGAAGUUUUUGUACUUUCUUGCUUGUUUCUGAUACCUUGUAUUGUGGCAUUGAGAAUUUGAGAUCUAGUUUUUUUUUUUUUUUGUGUGUGUGUGACUAUGGAGACACUUGUUGUUGUUGACCAGCAUAAGAAUCAAUACUGUAGCAGAUCUAAGUCACAAGGCCAUGGUAGAUUUGGAUCUU
rnacentral:lncRNA from 1 species